CCUGGUGGCUCAGAUGGUAAAGAAUCUGCCUGAAAUGCAGGAGACCUGGGUUCAAUCCCCGGGUCAGGA
rnacentral:tRNA from 1 species